rnacentral:rRNA from 1 species
GUGGGGAAUAUUGCACAAUGGGGGAAACCCUGAUGCAGCAACGCCGCGUGGAGGAUGACGCAUUUCGGUGUGUAAACUCCUUUUAUAAGGGAAGAUAAUGACGGUACCUUAUGAAUAAGCACCGGCUAACUCCGUGCCAGCAGCCGCGGUAAUACGGAGGGUGCAAGCGUUACUCGGAAUCACUGGGCGUAAAGGAUGCGUAGGCUGUAAUAUAAGUCAGAAGUGAAAUCCAACGGCUUAACCGUUGAACUGCUUUUGAAACUGUUUUACUAGAAUAUGGGAGAGGUAGAUGGAAUUGGUGGUGUAGGGGUAAAAUCCGUAGAUAUCACCAGGGAUACCGAUUGCGAAGGCGAUCUACUGGAACAUUAUUGACGCUGAGGCAUGAAAGCGUGGGGAGCAAACAGGAUUAGAAACCCAGGUAGUCC